CAAUAGCGUAUAUUUAAGUUGUUGCAGUUAAAAAGCUCGUAGUUGGAUUUCGGGUGGGACGCAGCGGUCUCGCAUUGCGUUUGUACUGCUGCAGCCCUCCUUCUUGCCGGGGGCGGCCUCUCGGACUUCACUGUCUGGGGGUCAGAAUCGGCGAUGUUACUUUGAGUAAAUUAGAGUGUUCAAAGCAAGCUUACGCUCUGAAUAUAAUAGCAUGGGAUAACACGACAGGACUCUGGCCUAUCGUGUUGGUCUAUAGGACCAGAGUAAUGAUUAAGAGGGACAGUCGGGGGCAUUCGUAUUCCGUUGGCAGAGGUGAAAUUCUUGGAUUUACGGAAGACGAACAUCUGCGAAAGCAUUUGCCAAGGAUGUUUUCAUUGA
rnacentral:rRNA from 1 species